rfam:Mesorhizobium australicum strain B5P genome assembly, contig: Ga0048943_14
AGCCGGUUGUCCACAUGCCGGUCUCCUCUGAGGCACACCCUCAUUGCCGGCAGUGCGGACGGGUCUCCCCUCCAAGCCAAGGCAGACAAAGCGAACCGAGGUCGGGCUGACCAAGGUUCAUCGCCGCGAGACGGCUUUCGAUGG